AGAGAAGAGAAGGCUUCCUCAAGCUCCUCCAAUUAAUUCUGUCCAUUUCUGUUUUUUUUAAAAAAAAUUAUUCUUUUUGGUUACUCCCUUUGGUCUCCGUUGAUUUGUUUCCUUCUAGGGUUUCUUAAUUUAUGCCCAUCUCUUCUAUUCUCUUCUCAGUUUGCUUUUUAUUUUUAUUUUUUUUUAAUUUCCUGCCUUCUUGAUUAGGGUUUUGAUCUUGGUUUUACUCUUUUAUGGAUAAAUAAUUGCUUUCGAUCGACUUUGACUUUUGCGCAUGCCAAAGAUUUCCGGAGUUGUUCUGUUUGGAUUUGCCGAUAGCUCUUGCUAUUGCUAUACUUUUUGUUUCAACUUUUUGCCUCUUCAAAUUGAUUCCUUUCAGGUUCUCUGAGCGCACAGGCAUGAAAAAAAUGUUUUUUUUAAUUGCUUCGGAGCUGACUGGCGUUUCGAUUCUUCUCCAUAGCUGCUGUGUUUUUUUAAUCUCCGCGAUCUUUUUGUUAAAAAUUUUCCAUCAUUCUGAUGCCAUUCGGAAAGUGCUUUUUCUUCCUUUUUUUUACUUGCGAUCUCUCUAAGAUUUUUAUCCUGCUUCAGAAGAGCAGUUUAAUAUUUGUUUUUGCUCUUGCAACUUUUGUAGCAACCAGAUGCCAUUAGGUUCCGCUGAUUGUUGAGGCAUAGAAAAAUGCUUUCUUGAUCAAUUCUAGGCGUUAUGAUAUCGUCCUUUUUAUGACAAGUAUUCCUUCCAUUUGAUGCCCUUGGAUUCUCUGAUUGUUGAGAAAUGGAAAUAAAAGUUGUUUUGUUUGACUCUGAGCUCUCUAGGAUUCUGCGUCCUCCUCAGAACUGUCAUUCAUUAUCUCACGAUUUUUCUAUUGCAAACUUUCCAUUAAUCUAAUAACACUCAGCUCCUCUGGUUGUCCAGUUAUGAAGAAGACAAAGGGUUUCUCUGAUUACUUCUGGGUUCUUUAGGUUUUUGAUUCUUUUUCAGAACUGCCAUCUAUUAUUUGGUGAUCUUUUUUAUAGUCAUUUUCUUCAUCAGUCCGAUAUCAUUUGACUUGACUCUGGAGACAUGAAAGAGCAGUUCUUUAAUUACUUUUGAGCUGUUGUGGGUUUCUGUUUCUUCUUUGGAGUGAUAGACGACAACCCCUACAGUUGCAAUGGGCUGAUAGAGCUGCCCUUUUUUUUUCGCAUUUUUUUUACUUUAUUUUUAUUUGCAAUUUUUCCACCAAUCUGGUCUCAUCCCGCUUUUCUUAAUAUAAAAACAUUGAAAAAAUGAUUUUGUGAUUGCUUCCGAGAUCUCAUGAUUUUUGAAUUUUUUUCAGAACGAUGGAUGGCAACCCCCACGGUGACAGUGGACUGAUAGAUCACCAUGUGGACCUUGAAGAUGAUAGCAUCAAUUUUUGGGCGACACUGGGUGUCAGCCCCCAUGUCAUGGAGCCGGAGCAGAACCCAAUGCCACCCCACCACCACAUGGAACGACAACCACCUCUUGAGAUGGUUGAGCAGUCCGUCCGAAGGGAGCUGUUUGCCAUGGAAGGGGAUCCAAGGCUAGAUCCUUUUGUGGGUAUGGAGUUUGAAUCAGGGGAGGCUGCAAAGACCUUCUAUAUCGCAUAUGCUGGCCGUAUUGGUUUCUCUGUCCGCAUUGCACGGUCCAGGCGAUCGAAAUGCAAUGAGUCCGUUAUCAUGCUGAGGUUUGUGUGUUCAAGAGAAGGGUUCAGUAGGGAGAAGCGCAUAAUUGCGGGAAAGAAGACAAGAAAAAGGGCAGCAUCCAUAAGGGAAGGGUGCAAAGCAAUGCUUGAGGUGAUUCGAAGAGGUGAUGAGAAAUGGGUUGUGACAAAGCUCGUGAAGGAGCAUAAUCAUGAAGUUGGGAUGCCAAGCAGGGUGCAUUAUAUUGCUACAGAAGAAGGAGAUGCUGUGAUAGAUCCAUAUCUUGGUAUGGAGUUUGAAUCUCUCGAGAUUGCGAAGACGUACUACUAUGCAUAUGCUAGCCGCAUGGGUUUUGAAGCUCGUGUUCGUCAGUCUCGUCGUUCGCUGCAUGAUGAAUCCCUCAAAAUGUUGAAACUUGUGUGUUCAAAGCAUCGUUACCAUUCGGGAAGGGACAACAACAGUGAUGAUAGCAAGAGGUUGCAAAUUCAAGAUCCCAACAAGGAAGGUUGUGAGGCAUUAUUUGAGAUAAUACGGAAAGAUGGUGAUAUGUGGGUGGUUUCUAAACUUGUGCUGGAGCAUACUCAUGAAUUGACACCUUCACCACCCAGCAAGGUGCGAUGCAUUCGCUCACAAGGAGAGAUACUUGUUAUUUCAAAGAACUUUGAUGAUACUCGCAAUCUACUGCUGAAUGGUCAGGACUCACGGUAUCCUAGAGAGAUCCGAUACAAUGACUUGGGUCCAGAAGAUGCUCAAAAUCUUCUUGAAUAUUUCAAGAAAACACAAGCAGAGAAUCCUGCAUUUUACUAUGCGGUACAGGUUGAAAACAAUAAUUGCAUGACCAAUAUCUUUUGGGCUGAUGCUAAAGCCCGAAUGGCCUAUUACUACUUUGGUGAUGCUGUUAGACUUGACACGACAUACAAAAAUGACAAGGAAUUGAUGCCUAUUGUUAUAUUUACAGGUGUAAACCAUCACCUACAACCUGUAGUUUUUGGAUGUGCACUGCUUGUUGAUGAGUCAGAGGCAUCAUUUGUUUGGCUCUUUGAAAAUUGGCUUGCAGCAAUGCCCGCAUCCCAUCCAGUGUCGUUAAUUACUGAAUUAAAUAGGGCUAUGGCAACAGCAGUUGCAAAAGUACUACCAAAUGCCCAUCAUUGUUUUUGCAAGAAACAUGUCUUAAAUACCAUCCAGGAAGAACUGCCUGAUUUGUAUUCAGUACAUUCCCCAUUUGAAGGAGAACUGAAGAAAUGUGUUGAUGGGUCUGAAACAAGGGAAUCAUUCGAGUCAUGCUGGGAUGCAAUAAUUGAUAAGUAUGGCCUCAAGGAGAAUGCAUACCUGCAGUCCUUAUACAGUAUUCGCCAGCAGUGGCUUCCAGUGUACUUGAAGGAAACAUUCUUUGCAGCAGAAUCUGUAUCUCAAAGAUGCGAAAACCUCGACAAGGUUAUUGAAAAGUAUUUCACGGUAAAGGCCCCUUUGCGAGGGGCUGUUAGGCAACUUGGACAGGCCACUGCAAGUUGGUAUGAAAAAGAAUCUCAAGCAGAUUUCAUUACAUUGUUUGAAAAGCCAUUUCUGAAGACUGCCUCACCAAUGGAAAAACAAGCAGCUGGAAUCUACACAAGGACAAUAUUCAACAGGUUUCAGAAGGAAUUUGUUGAAUCCUUGGGUUACCAUGUAGAUAAAAUUGAAGAUGGAGUAAUUAGCAAGUAUCAAGUGUUGAGAAAUGAAGAUGCUGAAGAGACAUGCAGGGUCACCUUUAAUGCAUCUGAAAACAAAGCACAUUGUAGCUGCUGCAUGUUUGAGUCAUCUGGUGUCUUGUGCAGACAUGCUCUGAGAGUCUUCAUCAUCAAUGGUGUCCGCAUGCUUCCAAAAGAUUACAUCUUGAAACGAUGGACAAAACAUGCUAAAAGUGGUGCUGUUUUGGAUGAUUAUGGUGUUGAGCUCAGAGGUAGUUGUGAAGAUCCUUCAACCGCAAGGUACAAUGAUCUCUGUCGCGAUGCCAUUAAAUGUGCCAGGGAGGGGGCUACAACUGCAGAGUUCUAUAAGGUUGCAAAGGAUGCACUUCAGAAGGCUGUAGAUGAAGUUGUCUCUGCAAAGCAAAAGAUGGGACAACAAACUUUGCAGAGUUUUAUAACAUCACAAAAAAGGCAAACCAAAAAGCUUGGAAAGGUCACACCUAGAAAAGAUGCAUCCACUAAGAAUGUGAAGAAGCUGGCAUCAAAAAAACCAUUGAUGGAGCAUGACAUUAGAUGAUUAGAUAUUGUGAGUUGUUUUGUUUCCAAUGGAGAUAGAUAAAGGAUGCAAUCCAAAAACCUCGGAUAUGUUACGUAUGGAGAGACAACUUCCCGUUACAGAUCUUCAAAUUCAGCAAGACCUUGAUGCUUCAGUGAGGCAUUCAACAUCUUGGCUUCAAUAGUUAGAGCCUCAAUGAACAGUUUUCAACUUCACAAAGCCAGAAGUACAGCAGUAUUCCUGCCAAGGUUGGCUUUUGACUAUCCUUUCAUAUCUGCAAGAUAUAUGCCAUGUAAAUUUGCUUAUAUAGCUGUGCUCCAUUAGUGACUUGGAAUACAUGGUGUUGUUUAGGAAAUCCUUCGUAUGUUGUUGAUAGGGACUAUGACUUCCAAAGAUGUAAUUCAUUUUACAACUUUCCCUGGAUAUAUGCGAUGCACCUUUUUCUUUUUAGUAA